rnacentral:tRNA from 1 species
GGGAAAGGACGGGUUCUGGUAUUCCCUCUGGUCUUCAAAACCAGCGCGAGGGGGUAACCGCUUCUCAGGUGGGUUCGAUUCCCACCCUUCCCCGCCA